UACAGAGGGUGCAAACGUUGUUCGGAUUUACUGGGCGUAAAGCGCGUGUAGGCUGCUUCGCAAGUCGGAUGUGAAAGCCCUGGGCUCAACCCAGGAAGUGCAUUCGAAACUGCAGAGCUGGAGUCCUGGAGAGGAAGGCGGAAUUCUCGGUGUAGAGGUGAAAUUCGUAGAUAUCGGAAGGAACACCAGUGGCGAAAGCGGCUUCCUGGUCCAGCACCGACGUUCAGGCACGAAAGCGUGGGGAGCAAACAGG
rnacentral:rRNA from 1 species